CCUUGCUCCAUGCCAGCAGCCACAAGAGUUCUUUCAUCUUGGCUUCAAAGUGUGGAAGGGGGAGUGCAGGGAACUGCUGUUGCCACCUAGAACGUGGCAGCAGAUAUUGCAUGUACACCAGUGCAGAACUGUGAUUGAUGCAGACUUGACCAAUGUUCUACUCUACUGCUACGUUCUGUCGGGUCAGAAAGUCUGACGCUUGAACACCUUCCCUAAGAG
rnacentral:lncRNA from 1 species